rnacentral:lncRNA from 1 species
UGCCUCAGCCUCCCAAGUAGCUGGGACUACAGGCGCCCGCCACCACGCCGGGCUAAUUUUUUGUAUUUUUAGUAGAGACGAGGUUUCAUCGUGUUAGCCAGCAUGGUCUCGAUCUCGGUGACCUGGUGAUCUGCCCACCUAGGCCUCCCAAAGUGCUGGGAUUACAGGCGUGAGCCACCACACCUGGCCAGCAGAUUGCAGUUUUAAGUAGGGCAGCCUGGGCAGGAAGCAACAUUGGGCCAAGACUAAAGGAGGUGAGGGACCUAGCCUGGCAGCAGUGAGGACAGGUCCUGGGUUUAUGAGCAGCAUCUCUCAGCCCCCCACCUGCCCAUUCAGGUUUGCCCUUGUUUGUGCCCUUAGGUCUCCUCGGGGCCCACAGGGCAUUGGGGAAAGCGUAGACUGCCAACAUACUUUACCCCAAAGCUCCUCCUCAUCCCCCCUUCACACUGCCACUGAAGCCCCUCACAGGCCACCAGUCGGAGUCCAGCAGCCUCCUCUGUCUCUUCAUCUUUUUCAGCUUCUGCAGCACUUGACCCUGACGCCCUUCUGCUCUUGGCCUGCACACCACUGUGCUCCACAGUCCUCUCACCUCUGCUUGCUGUGCUUCGUCCAUUUGCCCUUUAAACACAGGCUUUGCAGGCUGUCAUCAGCUUUUUCUCUUCCUGGGCCAUUUUUGUUGUUGUUGUUUUGAGAUGGAGUCUCACUCUGUCGCCCAGGCUGGAGUGCAGUGGCACGAUCUCAGCUCACUGCAACCUCCACCUUUGGGGUUCAAGCGAGUCUUCUACCUCAGCCUCCCAAGCAGCUGGCAUUACAGGCGCCCACCACCACGCCCAGCUAAUUUUUUGUAUUUUUAGUAGAGAUGGGGAUUCACCAUAUUGGCCAGGUUGGUCUUUGACUCUUGACCUCAAGUGAUCCACCCACCUCAGCCUCCCAAAGUGCUGGAAUUACAAGUGUGAGCCACUGUGCCUGGCCAUGGACAAUCUUAUUUUUAUUCCCUGACUCUAUUGCUACCUCUGAGCUGGUAUCUCAAUGUUUAUCUCCAAACCUGGCCUCUCUUGAGCCUCAGAACCGUGCCAUAUUUUCCAACUGCCUUUGUUUCAUUUCAUCAUGUGGCAUACUCAUGUGGCAUACUUAGCUAUUUAUGUCAUCUUUCCCAUGAGACUGGAAAUGCCUUGAAGACAGGUAUCGUAUUAUUUGUUUGGUUUGUGUUAUUGUUUUUUGUUUGUUUGUUUGGUUUGUUUUGACACAGAGUUUCACUCUUGUUGCCACAGCUGGAGUGCAAUGGCGUGAUCUCAGCUCACUGCAACCUCCACCUACUGGGUUCAAGUGAUUCUCCUGCCUCAGUCUCCCAAGUAGCUGGACUACAGGCAUGCGCCACCACGCCCAACCAUUUUUGUAUUUUUAGUAGAGAUGGGGGUUUCACCUUGUUGGCCAGGCUGGUCUCAAACUCCUGACCUCAGGUGGUCCGCCCACCUCGGCCUCUGAAAGGGUUGGGAUUCGAGGUGUGAGCCACCGCACCUGGCCUACCCUGUUUUAUUCAUUCUGGUGUCAUCCUGGAUUGGUCAUAUAACAAUGGCAAUUAUCAUAACAACCAGUAUUUUUUUUUUUUUUUUUUUGAGACAGAGUUUCACUCUUGUCACCCAGGCUGGAGUGCAAUGGCAUGAUCUUGGCUCACUGCAACCUCCGCCUCCCAGGUUCAAGCGAUUCUCCUGCUUCAGCCUCCCAAGUAGCUGGGAUUACAGGAAUGCACCACCAUGCCUGGCUAAUUUUUGUAUUUUUAGUAGAAAUGGGGU